GAGGGCUUUACUGUCUCUUACUUCCAAUCCGUGAAAUUGACCUUCCCGUGAAGAGGCGGGAAUAUGACAAUAAGACGAGAAGACCCUAUGGAGCUUUAAUUAACCGACCCAAAGAGAUCUUGAUAAUCAACCGACAGGGAUAACAUACCUCUACCAUGGGCCGACAAUUUAGGUUGGGGUGACCUCGGAGAAUAAAACAACCUCCGAGUGAUUUAAAUCUAGACUAACUAGUCGAAAGUACUACAUCACUUAUUGAUCCAAAAACUUGAUCAACGGAACAAGUUACCCUAGGGAUAACAGCGCAAUCCUAUUUUAGAGUCCAUAUCGACAAUA
rnacentral:rRNA from 1 species